rnacentral:sRNA from 1 species
AGUCCCAUGGGAUAUUUGUUGUCCCAUGGGACAAAAAAAAUCCCAUGGGACUAUAAUUAUCCCAUGGGAUU